rnacentral:misc_RNA from 1 species
GAGUCUAGGGUACCCGAAGUCGCUAGUCUAACCCGUAAGGGAGGACGGUGCCGAAGGUACGCUCGGUAAGGAGGGUGAAGUCGUAACAAGGUAGCCGUACCGGAAGGUGCGGCUGGAUCACCUCCUUUCUAAGAGAAAGGGUGUUUGAAAGUUUAUAUAACUUUCUAAUUUAUAGUCUUGAAGUACACAAGACAAUUGGUGUUUAUUUUCUUUCUUUUAUUCUUUCCUAACUCUCUUUUAUUUAAAACUGAGGGCCUGUAGCUCAGUUGGUUAGAGCACU